rnacentral:lncRNA from 1 species
CGAACGUGUGUUAUUUGCAAACCAAGUAUAUCAUUACUGAACCUGAAUAUCCUUACUUUUUCAUAAGAUACAUGAAAAGAAAGAAGGAGAGAAGGAAGAAAGGAGGGCGGAAGGAAAGGAAGAAGGGAGAGAAGAAGAGAAGAAAGAAGCAGAGAAAGGAAGAGAAAAGAAAUUACGGCCAGUGCGGUGGCUCACGCCUGUAAUCCUAGCACUUUGGGAGGCCUAAGCGGGCUGAUCACCUGAGGUCAGGAGUUCGUAA